UACGUAGGGUGCAAGCAUUAAUCGGAUUUAUUGGGCGUAAAGGGCGCGCAGGCGGGGAUGUCAGUCAGAUGUGAAAUCCCGGGGCUCAACCUCGGAACUGCAUUUGAAACUACAUCUCUAGAGGAUAGACGGAGAAAGCGGAAUUCCACAAGUAGCGGUGAAAUGCGUAGAUAUGUGGAAGAACACCAGUGGCGAAGGCGGCUUUCCAGUUUAUACCUGACGCUGAGGCGCGAAAGCAAGGGGAGCAAACAGG
rnacentral:rRNA from 1 species